rnacentral:lncRNA from 1 species
UGUUCUUAACCAUUAAGUUAUUUCUCUAGCUCCAAGAGAAAAUGCUCUAAUAUCUUAUAUUUUAAACUAGACACUGAAAAUCAUCGUGGAAUAUCGUUCACCUUUGGAAUACAGUUCUAAAGCCGUGACUCAUGGGUCACCACUAACUUAAUGACAUAGUGCAGUUCAUUGGUAGAGGGCUUCUCCCCACAGCAUGCACAGAGCUUCGGGUUUGGUCCUCAGAACUGAAAGAACUCUCACUAUAAGGAAGUGCUUGUGAAUGCCUUUAUAGUCAAGAAUGUUAUAUAGUAGGGGCACAUUUGUGCUGUUGACUGUAAAAUGUAACCGUUUCCUCAGUUUUACUCCAGAAAGUGGAGACAACUGUACAGGAGGAAGCUGCUUUACUGUACAAAUACACUUCCCUCCAGUGUCGCUGAGUAAAAUAGCUUAGGAAAUGUUUAAGGAAAACCAGCUUACUGUAACAAUAGCGUUUUGGAGCCAUAAAUACCUGUCUUCAAAUUCCAGGACCAGAACCCCUGGUCCCUUCGGAUUUCCCGCUGCUGUUUUGACUUUGCUAAUUCAGUUGGUUUCAUGUCUGAGAAACUAAAGCAUGGGAACUGGAACUAGAGACGCUUGGGCCCCGUGCUUUCUAUUAGAAGCUCAAGGGAGAGGUGAGAACCAUGUGAAUUGUGAGUGAGUGAGAGAUGAACGUUCCCUGUUGAGUGGUGACAGAAAAACAGAAAGAGAAUAACUGCAGGCAUGUGGCAAGGAAGACUUUGUCAACUUAGUUCCUGGACCAGCCACUGUAUGCAGAAAUGUACAUCACUGGUCUACUUGGUGUGGGUGGCCUGGACCUAAAUCUCUGAGCCUAUCCCAAGAACUUACGAAUGCCAUAGGACAAGAGCAUACAGUUUUUGUGACCAUCUUUUUUUUUUUUUUUUCACACAAGAAGAUGAAUACUUUUGGCUUGCACUUAAAUGUUGUUUCCUAAACACUCUGUGUAUCUCUUUAUUUAUGAGCUAUUAAAUUGAGUGCUCAGUGUUUGAUAACAGUUGUUCUAGGUGGUCAGGAUCUCAGUAGUUGGUUGUGUGUGUGUGUGUGUGUGUGUGUGUGUGUGUGUGUGUGUUACCUCAUAGGAGAGACAGACAAAGGAAAAGAGAUGUAUAGGGAAACUCAGGUAGUGAUGACUGCUAAGAAGAAACCACCAAAUAGGUAGCUGAACAUGGUGGUAGGUGUCUGACCCCUGUCAUUCCCAAGGCAGGGGUGGGAGACUCUGAGUUAUUAAGCCCACCUGUGGGGUCAUGUCUUUUAAAACCAUGCCUCAAGAAGCACUCAGCCAAAGAGGGACAUUGAUGGAGUAGGGAUAAGAUUGCCCAGACAAUGCCUUGUGGAGGAAAUGGCUUUUGAGCUUCAUCCUGAGGUGGGAGCAUGGCAAAAGUCACACAGACAUGGAUGCUCUAGUCCAAGGAGGUCACUGGUGCAGAAACUGACCUGGCUGCAGUGACCUGCAGUUCCUGCUCUAUUUGGCUUUCUAUAUCUGGCCCAAAAAGCUACAGUUUUAAUAGGACCACAGAGAUAAAACAGGUGGUGCAUAUGAAUAAAUGUUAAGGUACAUGUGGCUGCUGAAGACUUUCUGUGCUUCACUGGAGUCGACCACAAACACACCCUGAAUGUAUAAAUCAAAUGGUUUCCUAGGUCCUUUCAUCACUGCAUCUGCUAAUUUAAUCAAAAGCUGCUUGUUCCCUUUGUGCUCUGAGGCCAUUGACCUCUCUGUCUCUUGGUCUCUGGAGUAAAAAUUGUAGGUAGAGAUGAAGGACUGAUUCUACUCAGACCUUUGACCAUGCAGAUCCUUGGGGGCUUUGUGCUAAUGAAGAUGGAUACGGGUUUCUUUCUGCUUCUGAAUUGAUUUUGUGAC